rnacentral:rRNA from 1 species
GCAUCGAUCAAUAACGGAGCGAAAAGCGAUAAGUAAUGUGAGUUGCAGAAUUCAGUGAAUCAUCGAAUCUUUGAACGCAUAUAGCGCCUGGUAGUAUUCUGCCAGGCAUGCCUGUCCGAGCGUCAUUUCACCACUCAAGGACUCCUUUGUUCUUGGCGUUGGAGGUCCUGUUCUCCCCUGAACAGGCCGCCGAAAUGUAUCGGCUGUUAUACUUGCCAACUCCCCUGUGUAGUAUAAAAUUUCUAAUUUUUACACUUUGAAGUUCUUGUGUAACACGCCGCUAAACCAACCCCCUCAACUUUUGUUGAACUUUCACAAGGUUGACCUCGGAUCAGGUAGGAAUACCCGCUGAACUUAAGCAUAUCAAUAACGGAGGAAAAGAAACCAACAGGAGUUGCCUAGUAACGGCGAGUGAACGGCAACAGCUCAAAUUUGAAAUCUGGACACUUAGCGGUUUCCGAGUUGUAAUUUGUAGAGGAUGCUUUUGGUGAGGUGCCUUCCGAGUUCCCUGGAACGGGACGCCAUAGAGGGUGAGAGCCCCGUACGGUUGGAUACCAAAUCCUCUGUAUAGCUCCUUCAACGAGUCGAGUAGUUUGGGAAUGCUGCUCUAAAUGGGAGGUAUAUCUCUUCUAAAGCUAAAUAUAGGCUAGAGACCGAUAGCGCACAAGUAGAGUGAUCGAAAGAUGAAAAGCACUUUGAAAAGAGAGUUAAACAGCACGUGAAAUUGUUGAAAGGGAAGCGCCUAUGACCAGACUUGUUUCUGGCAGUUUCGUUAGCCUUCGGGCUGAUUUACUCUGUCCAGUACAGGCCAGCAUCAGUUUGCUGUCGGGGAGAAAGGCUCUGGGAACGUAGCUCCCCCCUUCUGGGGGGAGUGUUAUAGCCCUCUGCAUAAUACCCUUCGGCAGACUGAGGACCGCGCUUCGGCAAGGAUGCUGGCGUAAUGGCACAGACGCCCGUCUUGAAACACGGACCAAGGAGUCAACCUUAUGUGCGAGUGUUUGGGUGUAAAACCCCAGCGCGUAAUGAAAGUGAACGUAGGUGAGAGCUUCGGCGCAUCAUCGACCGA